UGUAGUUUCUUAUUAUUGUUUAGGGGU
rnacentral:piRNA from 1 species